AACCCAUGGUGAGGGCAUCUUUUUAAUAAGUCUUUGUAUCUCUCCCAUACAUCAUAUAGAUUUUCUAGAUCCAUCUACACAAAAGAAGAGAUAUCAUUCCUCAAUUU
rfam:Gossypium arboreum cultivar AKA8401 contig_1719_13, whole genome shotgun sequence.